rnacentral:rRNA from 1 species
GCAAGUCGAGCGGACCGACGGGAGCUUGCUCCCUUAGGUCAGCGGCGGACGGGUGAGUAACACGUGGGUAACCUGCCUGUAAGACUGGGAUAACUCCGGGAAACCGGGGCUAAUACCGGAUGCUUGAUUGAACCGCAUGGUUCAAUCAUAAAAGGUGGCUUUUAGCUACCACUUACAGAUGGACCCGCGGCGCAUUAGCUAGUUGGUGAGGUAACGGCUCACCAAGGCGACGAUGCGUAGCCGACCUGAGAGGGUGAUCGGCCACACUGGGACUGAGACACGGCCCAGACUCCUACGGGAGGCAGCAGUAGGGAAUCUUCCGCAAUGGACGAAAGUCUGACGGAGCAACGCCGCGUGAGUGAUGAAGGUUUUCGGAUCGUAAAACUCUGUUGUUAGGGAAGAACAAGUACCGUUCGAAUAGGGCGGCACCUUGACGGUACCUAACCAGAAAGCCACGGCUAACUACGUGCCAGCAGCCGCGGUAAUACGUAGGUGGCAAGCGUUGUCCGGAAUUAUUGGGCGUAAAGCGCGCGCAGGCGGUUUCUUAAGUCUGAUGUGAAAGCCCCCGGCUCAACCGGGGAGGGUCAUUGGAAACUGGGGAACUUGAGUGCAGAAGAGGAGAGUGGAAUUCCACGUGUAGCGGUGAAAUGCGUAGAGAUGUGGAGGAACACCAGUGGCGAAGGCGACUCUCUGGUCUGUAACUGACGCUGAGGCGCGAAAGCGUGGGGAGCGAACAGGAUUAGAUACCCUGGUAGUCCACGCCGUAAACGAUGAGUGCUAAGUGUUAGAGGGUUUCCGCCCUUUAGUGCUGCAGCAAACGCAUUAAGCACUCCGCCUGGGGAGUACGGUCGCAAGACUGAAACUCAAAGGAAUUGACGGGGGCCCGCACAAGCGGUGGAGCAUGUGGUUUAAUUCGAAGCAACGC